CCUACGGGUGGCAGCAGUGGGGAAUAUUGGACAAUGGGCGAAAGCCUGAUCCAGCCAUGCCGCGUGUGUGAAGAAGGCCUUCGGGUUGUAAAGCACUUUCAGUGGGGAAGAAAGCCUUGGGGCUAAUACCCUCGAGGAAGGACAUCACCCACAGAAGAAGCACCGGCUAACUCCGUGCCAGCAGCCGCGGUAAUACAGGAGGGUGCGAGCGUUAAUCGGAAUUACUGGGCGUAAAGCGCGCGUAGGCGGUCUGAUAAGCCGGUUGUGAAAGCCCCGGGCUCAACCUGGGAACGGCAUCCGGAACUGUCAGGCUAGAGUGCAGGAGAGGAAGGUAGAAUUCCCGGUGUAGCGGUGAAAUGCGUAGAGAUCGGGAGGAAUACCAGUGGCGAAGGCGGCCUUCUGGACUGACACUGACGCUGAGGUGCGAAAGCGUGGGUAGCAAACAGGAUUAGAUACCCGAGUAGUC
rnacentral:rRNA from 1 species